AGAAUCAACGCUGGCGGCGUGCCUAACACAUGCAAGUCGAACGAGAAAGUGGGAGCAAUCCCACGAGUAAAGUGGCGCACGGGUGAGUAACACGUGACUAACCUACCCUUGAGUGGGGGAUAACCUAGGGAAACCUGGGCUAAUACCGCAUAAUACCUACGGGUCAAAGGAGCAAUUCGCUUUAGGAGGGGGUCGCGGCAGAUUAGUUAGUUGGCGGGGUAAUGGCCCACCAAGACAGUGAUCUGUAUCCGGCCUGAGAGGGCGCACGGACACACUGGAACUGAAACACGGUCCAGACUCCUACGGGAGGCAGCAGUGGGGAAUUUUGCGCAAUGGGGGAAACCCUGACGCAGCAACGCCGCGUGGAGGAUGAAGCCCCUUGGGGCGUAAACUCCUUUCGAUCGGGAAGAUAAUGACGGUACCGGAAGAAGAAGCCCCGGCUAACUUCGCGCCAGCAGCCGC
rnacentral:rRNA from 1 species